GUGCUUGCUUUGGCAGUACAUAUACUAAAAUUGGAACGAUACAGAGAAGAUUGCAUGGCCCCUGCACAAGAAUGACAUGCAAAAACAAUAAAGUUAUAAAAUAUAA